rnacentral:rRNA from 1 species
CCCUUAGAUGUUCUGGGCCGCACGCGCGCUACACUGAUGCAUUCAACGAGCCUAUCCUUGACCGACAGGUCCGGGUAAUCUUUGAAUCUGCAUCGUGACGGGGAUAGAUUAUUGCGAUUAUUAAUCUUCAACGAGGAAUGCCUAGUAGGCGCAAGUCAUCAGCUUGCGUCGAUUACGUCCCUGCCCUUUGUACACACCGCCCGUCGCUCCUACCGAUUGGGUGUGCUGGUGAAAUGUUCGGAUCGGCCGUUUGUCGCGGUUUCCGCGGCUCGUGGCUGAGAAGUUCAUUAAACCCUCCCACCUAGAGGAAGGAGAAGUCGUAACA